AUGCAGCUCUGGUCGCUCAAGGGUGCGGAGGAGGCCCUCCGCGACCGGUGCCGGGUGGACCACCUCGACAGCAGAACCUACGAGCAAGGGCACACGAAGACGUUCGGUGCCUGGGUCUGGGUGUGGGAUGUUGCUCACAUCCCAGCCAAGCACACUCUGUGGAUCAUCAAGCAUGGCGCGGGCAGAACGGAGGAGAUGUACGGCUUCUCUCCCCCGAGCCGCGACGUCGCACCUCCGCCGUGGGUUCGCCGCAAAGACCUGCUCAUCCACGUCGACCUCGUCGAAGAUUGGACGCCGUUGUCCCCGCGCUCCUCCUCCUCCCCGCAGAGCGAGAUUCCAUCAUCAGAGUCCGAGGGUGACACCAGGCCGUUCCCUGCAACAUACCCUGGCACCUGGGUGAUGAAGACCGAGGAUGGCCAGGCUCCUGACGACCAAGGCCGUGCGCACCGCCCCGGGCCUGCCGUGGCCAACACUGGCUGCCAUGGCAUGCCCUUCGGCGGCCCCAGACGCAGCCACGACGGCGACGAUGGAGGGGGCCGGCGCUCCUGGAAAGACACCCUCCUGGGGCGCGGGCGCUCCUCCCAUGAUGCUUCUGCGGCGGCGCAUCCCCAGCAACGCCACCAACGCCAGCGUAGCCGCACGCCCACCAGCCGGCACGGCCAGCACCACCACCAUCACAACUCCUCCAAGGACAAGCAGGCUCCGUCCGCGCGCGCCCGGACCCCCCCCAACAAGAUGAGGCUGCACCCAGGCACGCUUCCCCAGACCCGAUGGUAG
rnacentral:rRNA from 1 species